UCAAAUAAUUUGGUGUAUCGUACC
rnacentral:siRNA from 1 species